CCCCGACCCCCGCGCUGACCCAGCCUCGGGCCACUCCGCCGCCCCCAGGCUCCAGGUGACCCGGGCCGCACUCACCUUUGGCGCUGCCCCUCCAGGCCCAGGCCGAGGCCGAGGCCCAAGCCGGUGGGCGCGGAGUGGCCCGAGGCUGGGUCAGCGCGGGGGUCGGGGUCACCUGGCAGUCACCCAGGGUUCAGGGUUGGGGUCGCUGGGCUCCGGGUCAGUGGAGUGGCCCUGGCAGAGCUUGAGGUGGCCUAGGGGCCUGGCAGCCCAGGACAUAGGGUCGGAGUGACCUGGGGCCAUCAGCUCAGUGGCAGGAUGGCGAGGUGGCCGUGGGCUGGCUCAGUGCAUAACAUGGGGCUGAGGUGACCUACGGAAAACCAGGAUCAGCCCGUGACACAGGGCUGAAGUGACCUAUCAGCAUAGGACUUGGAGAUCAGGAGGUGACCCUGGUCCUCUGUGAGCCCCAGACACAUGUUGGGGUGUCCUGGGCCCUGUCAGUGAGGGAGAGAGACUUAGGGUUUCCUGGGUCUUGCCAGCCCCAGAAGGGAGUCUUGCCUGGGCCCCUCCCCAGCCUAAGGUGUCAGAGUCAAGGGUCUUCUGGGAUCUGUCAACCCCCUUUACAUGGAUGUUAGGGUUUCCUUGGGCCUUAUUGAUCCCCAGACUUAAGGGUCAUGGUCCUCUUAAUCCUGCCACCCCUGAAUACAGGGUCAGGGUUCCCUCAACCCUUGCCAGCCCCCAGACACGGAGCCCUGUCCGGUCCAGACACACACACACCCCUCCCCCGCCCAUUUUAUCAGUUCACUGGACACAGGGACUCACAAACAUCCACCAUACGUUCCCCUUUGUUCUUUGAACUGGGCAAACCCCGCUGUGGGCCAGGGGUCUUUCCUGCACUGUGACCUCUCCCCAGAGUCUCCCACAUCCGGCCAGACUCCCAGCCCACAGCUGCUGGUCUCUGGAGCCCCCCCAUCACCCUCUCCUCCUUUGUCCUCUCUGAGCUCAGCGUCCCCGGGCCCAUCACAUCCCAAGUCGCAGGCAUUUCCCCUGCCCCUCACCCAUCUCAGAGCCUCCCCAACCCCGAGCCCUGCCCCUCUAGUCUGUGCCCCCUGCCCACACGUGUGGCUGCCGGACACCCCACUUCCUUCCCCCAGAGACCCUUUCACAGGCCCUGGAGGUGUGCAGAGUCCUGCAGCUGGUGCCACACGUGGGUGGGCCAAGACCUUGAACUCACCGCAGUCCCCUGGUGUCCAGAGGCUCUUCUUACCUGGAGGUCAUGACGGCUGCACUGGCUGUCGUUGCCUUGCAGCCCUGGUCCUCAGGCAGUUCCAGAAGACGUGUGGCGUCCCAACGCUGCUCCCUCGAGUUUCUGGAAGACACAGUGGGAUGUCCCUCGGGUCAAAGAACCAAACACAUAUCCGGAUCGCCAAGACACAAAGGCCUGAAGAAGACACACUUCAUCAAGAACAUGCGGCAGUACGACACCAGGAACAGCAGGUGCAGGCGCACGGCCCACCGUGUCCUCCCUCCAGCCCCGUGGGACCUCGUCCUGCCUAUGUCAGCAGCCCUGCCUUCCUUCAGCUCAGGAGACUUAUCCCCACAGCCCAUCCCUUGUCCCCUUGGAAGUGGACCCUCCUUCCCUCCCACCCACCUCCAUUCAUAUUCCCUGAGUGCCAAGGUCCACAGCACGUCCUGGGCGAGGGGCCGCCCAGUAGACUGGUCUUGAAUAGAAAUGCUGAACGUUGA
ensembl:lncRNA